rnacentral:rRNA from 1 species
GAUGAACGUUGGCGGUGUGCCUAAUACAUGCAAGUCGAACGGAGACUGUAGCAAUACUGUCUUAGUGGCGAACGGGUGAGUAACGCGUUGGUGAUCUGCCUCGAAGUGUGGAAUAACCUCCCGAAAGGGAAGCUAAUACCGCAUAGUCUCUCAAGGUUUAGAAAAUUGAGAGUAAAGGAUUUAUUCGCUUCGAGAGGAGCCUGCGUCCCAUCAGCUAGUUGGUAGGGUAACGGCCUACCAAGGCAUCGAUGGGUAGCCGAGCUGAGAGGUUGAUCGGCCACACUGGAACUGAGACACGGUCCAGACUCCUACGGGAGGCAGCAGUAGGGAAUAUUGGACAAUGGGCGCAAGCCUGAUCCAGCCAUGCCGCGUGAGUGAAGAAGGCCCUCGGGUUGUAAAGCUCUUUUGUCCGGAAAGAAAAGCGCCGGGUUAAUACCCUGGUGUCCUGACGGUACCGGAAGAAUAAGCAUCGGCUAACUUCGUGCCAGCAGCCGCGGUAAGCACG